UUCACACCAAAACACCAAGUAACAGGACUCAUUCAUUGUACGCCCACAACAACUUCAGACAAGCCAUAAUGAAUGUGUGAGCGCCGCUGAGGACGGGUGCAACCUGACUCAGUUCACAGUCCCUGAUACAUCCACGAUGUCUCUCUGUGUGGCUUGCGAUGCGCGGUGCAGUGAACCUCAAAGAGUGAUUCCUACGAGCAGAGAAUGAGGAGUCCUGAUUGUCUCCCUUCCGCAGUCUUAGUUUUCGCAUCGGAUUUUACGUCGAGAACCAACACGAUGUGUUGAGGACUGCCAGAGACAAAGGAAGAUCAUCGAAACAUAGUUUUAGUUGCUGGCUGCAUCCGGACGAUUUUGAGGUAGAACAUCUCAGCACAGGAUUAGCCCUGAUGAUGGAAGCAGUAAGCACCUCUGAAGAGUCAGUUAGUUUCCACGAGACUGCAUGGCGCAACAUCCCAGAAGACAGUCAUCUUUAGGAAAGUUGGGAAUCGAAUACGAUACCGCAGGAAUGUCAGUGUAAAGCGAGGAGAUGCAGGUAUAGGCGGUAG